GUCGAACGGCAGCGCGGGGCAACCUGGCGGCGAGUGGCGAACGGGUGAGUAAUAUAUCGGAACGUACCCUGGAGUGGGGGAUAACGUAGCGAAAGUUACGCUAAUACCGCAUACGAUCUAAGGAUGAAAGUGGGGGAUCGCAAGACCUCAUGCUCCUGGAGCGGCCGAUAUCUGAUUAGCUAGUUGGUAGGGUAAAAGCCUACCAAGGCAUCGAUCAGUAGCUGGUCUGAGAGGACGACCAGCCACACUGGAACUGAGACACGGUCCAGACUCCUACGGGAGGCAGCAGUGGGGAAUUUUGGACAAUGGGCGCAAGCCUGAUCCAGCAAUGCCGCGUGAGUGAAGAAGGCCUUCGGGUUGUAAAGCUCUUUUGUCAGGGAAGAAACGGUGGAGGCUAAUAUCCUUUGCUAAUGACGGUACUUGAAGAAUAAGCAUCGGCUAACUACGUGCCAGCAGCCGCGGUAAUACGUAGGGUGCAAGCGUUAAUCGGAAUUACUGGGCGUAAAGCGUGCGCAGGCGGUUUUGUAAGUUUGUCGUGAAAUCNCCGGGCUCAACCUGGGAAUGGCGAUGAAGACUGCAAGGCUAGAAUCUGGCAGAGGGGGGUAGAAUUCCACGUGUAGCAGUGAAAUGCGUAGAGAUGUGGAGGAACACCGAUGGCGAAGGCAGCCCCCUGGGUCAAGAUUGACGCUCAUGCACGAAAGCGUGGGGAGCAAACAGGAUUAGAUA
rnacentral:rRNA from 1 species